rnacentral:rRNA from 1 species
CCUACGGGAGGCUGCAGUGGGGAAUAUUGCACAAUGGACGCAAGCCUGAUGCAGCCAUGCCGCGUGUGUGAAGAAGGCCUUCGGGUUGUAAAGCACUUUCAGCGGGGAGGAAGGCGGUGAGGUUAAUAACCUCAUCGAUUGACGUUACCCGCAGAAGAAGCACCGGCUAACUCCGUGCCAGCAGCCGCGGUAAUACGGAGGGUGCAAGCGUUAAUCGGAAUUACUGGGCGUAAAGCGCACGCAGGCGGUCUGUCAAGUCGGAUGUGAAAUCCCCGGGCUCAACCUGGGAACUGCAUUCGAAACUGGCAGGCUAGAGUCUUGUAGAGGGGGGUAGAAUUCCAGGUGUAGCGGUGAAAUGCGUAGAGAUCUGGAGGAAUACCGGUGGCGAAGGCGGCCCCCUGGACAAAGACUGACGCUCAGGUGCGAAAGCGUGGGGAGCAAACAGGAUUAGAUACCCCAGUAGUC